ensembl:lncRNA
CUAUGGGGUCCUUGACCGUCCAUAUGUGACAAGUCAGAACUGUCUCAGUAUCACCGUAAACCUGGUGCACAUGUGUGAAUCUGAAUGGGCUGGUUUUUGCUGGUUGCUGAGAGUUUAAGGAUGCUCAGCACUGUAAAACGCUGCAAUGUCACCUUAACUUUUUUACCAAGUAAUCCAGUAGUAGCAGAGGAUUACUCCCACUAAAAACCCUUAAAGGUCUCCAUACACGCAAUUUGAGCCACACCGUGCAAUGUGGAUCUAAUACACUUGGGUAAGACGUCAUGUUUGAUGCAAGAUACUGUUGUUGGUAUACCCACUGGAUCACGUGCCAUUUAUUUCUCUUCUACUUUCUUCUAUGCUACAUCGUCCUCCCCUCGUCCAUCUGCAACUCAACCUAAGUCUCUCCUUUGCUGGAAUCCUAAAGUUUUGUUGUGCAUGUUUUGUCCCAAGCUUUUUUUGUUUGCAGGACUCCACUGCCAUGACCAAAGAUUUCGUCAUGAUUCUUUCACGUCGGUCAAAGUCUCACACUGUUUACGGUUUUACACUAAAAAUAAAUUUGGGUGGAGACAUCUAUCAAUAUUGCUAGUUUUUAAUGUAUCAAACAGUAAAGGAAAAUGCACGAAUGGCGAUAAUGACUAAAUCAGAGGCUCCCUUCCAUGUGCAAGGCCUUUCCAUCCAGCCUUAGAAACAUGGACCAUAUUACACUGAAUUGGUUGCUGAUGGCUCUGAUCGUUUGCUAAAAUCCUGC